rnacentral:rRNA from 1 species
GACGAACGCUGGCGGCGUGCCUAAUACAUGCAAGUAGAACGCAGUUGCGAACGGGUGAGUAACGCGUAGGUAACUGCCUCAUAGCGGGGGAUCACUAUUGGAAACGAUAGCUAAUACCGCAUACUGUGAGAUGGACCUGCGUUGUAUUAGGUAGUUGGUGAGGUAAAGGCUCACCAAGGCGACGAUACAUUGCCGACCUGAGAGGGAGAUCGGCCACCAUGGGACCGAGGACCGGCCCAAACACCUGCCGGGAGAAGGAGGAGGGAAGCUUCGGCAAGGGACGGAAGACUGACCGAGCAACGCCGCGUGAUCGAAUAAGGUUUUCGGUUCGGAAAGGUCUGUUGUUAGAGAAGCGGUAACUAACCAGAAAGCCACGGCUAACUACGUGCCAGCAGCCGCGGUAAUUC